AUCUUUGACCUCAAAUCAGGUAGGAAUACCCGCUGAACUUAAGCAUAUCAAUAAGCGGAGGAAAAGAAACCCACAGGGAUUGCCUUAGUAACGGCGAGUGAAGCGGCAAAAGCUCAAAUUUGAAAUCUGGGGUCUUCGACCUCCGAGUUGUAAUUUGAAGAAAGCAUCUUUGGAUUUAGCCUUUUUCUAAGUUCCUUGGAACAGGACUUCAUAGAGGGUGAGAAUCCCGUAUGAAGAAGUGUCUAUUUCUAUGUAAAGUGCUUUCGACGAGUCGAGUUGUUUGGGAAUGCAGCUCUAAGUGGGUGGUAAAUUCCAUCUAAAGCUAAAUAUUGGCGAGAGACCGAUAGCGAACAAGUACAGUGAUGGAAAGAUGAAAAGAACUUUGAAAAGAGAGUGAAAAAGUACGUGAAAUUGUUAAAAGGGAAGGGCUUCAGAUCAGACUUGAUGUUUAGUGAUCCAUCUUCCUUUUUGGUUGGUGCACGCGCUUUUCAUUGGGCCAACAUCGAUUUGAGUGGUAGGAUAAUGCCGUUGGAAUGUAGCUUCAUUCGUGAAGUGUUAUAGACUUCGGUGAUACUGCCCAUUCGGAUCGAGGACUGCGUCUUUUGACUAGGAUGUUGGCGUAAUGAUCU
rnacentral:rRNA from 1 species